CAAUAGCGUAUAUUAAAGUUGUUGCAGUUAAAAAGCUCGUAGUUGGACCUUGGACCUGGACAGGCGGUCCGCCUCACGGCGUGUACUGUCUUGCUGGGUCUUUCCUCUUGGUGAUCUGUUGUUUCGGCAGCAGGGAACCAGGACUUUUACUUUGAAAAAAUUAGAGUGUUCAAAGCAGGCUCGACGCCGGAAUAUAUUAGCAUGGAAUAAUAAAACAGGACGUGCGGUUCUAUUUUGUUGGUUUUUGGAAUCGCCGUAAUGAUUAAUAGGGACAGUCGGGGGCAUUAGUACUCACAUGCUAGAGGUGAAAUUCUUGGAUUUUGUGAAGACUAACUUCUGCGAAAGCAUUUGCCAAGGAUGUUUUCAUUAA
rnacentral:rRNA from 1 species